rnacentral:tRNA from 1 species
GGAGUUGUGGCUCAGUGGUAGAGUGCCCAUCUUGCAUGUGUGAGGCACUGGGUUCGAUUCUCAGCACCA